UUGGAUAAUCAAGAAUAAUAUGAUAAUAUUGCAAACAAAAAACCUACCCCAAAACUUUUUGUGCCAAACACAAUUUUGGAGACAUGGUAUGUUUGCUAACCGAAAGGCAAAAAUCGAUUGACCAGAAAUCCAAACGAUUUGAAAAUAGAAAGAGAGAUGUAGCAUUGAUUAAAGAAUUCAAAUUCCGACAAGCUAUUAAGCUAAAUUUGAUAGGACUGCAGAUUCAUUGAAAGUCCAGUCAAGAAGCUACAUCUAUAUGUUUCUAAUCAAAACAACCGGGGACAGCAGAAACAGGAAUCCAUAUUUUAUCAGCAACAAUUCCAAUCAAAUUUAUAGGGUUCCAAUAAUCAAGAUUCGUCAGAAAGCUAUUAGUUUCAUUUAAAGAAUCACAUAGUACUGUGGCAAACAAACAAGAAUAACAAAGUAGCCAAAAUUUGCAGCAGCCAAAAUUCGUCUGCUGUGACAAAGCCUACUGUUACAAGUGAUAUGGCUAUUAGUUUACAUAUAUUAACCAAAUUGCAUGCCUUCAGAGAGUAACCAAAAGCAGUAGCAACAAUUAAGUAUUCCUUAAAAUUUCUCUUAAUUCUCCAAAACCGAAUUGCCAUACUGACAACAACAAAAAUACAGCAGCCCACCACCACCAACAAAAUGACACCAAAGACUAGUGCUAUCUCCACUCCUUGCCAAGCUACCACGGACAACAGAAAUUUGAAUCCAAAAAUCAACGCUUCUGACUCUGUUAUCAUGUUUUCACAGCAUAAUACCAGCAUCUCAUAAUUUUCAAAUAUCAAAAUUCACGUCUAAUAUCAUUAAAACACAAUACUACCAUCUUAAUUUAUCAAAUUAGGAUGAUCUAGGCUCAAAUAUUGAAUCUGCAUCUAAGACUUAUCGAGGCACAAUACCUACAUCCCAACUCAUGGAAUUUCAAAUCAACUUUUGCAUCUAAGACUCAUCUAGGCUCAAAUACUAAAUGUCAAUCCAAUUAUCAUCGAGGCACAUUAUCAUUUUGUCCCAAUAUACCAAAGUUAUGAUUAUUUGGGAUCAAAUAUCAAUUUUCACUUUCAAGGUUCUAGUCUCAAUUAUCGAAUUUUGAAUCUAAGGUCAUCGAGGUUCAAUUCCACCAUCCUAAUUUAUCGAAUUUACGACCAUGUAGGCUCAAAUACUAAAUUCAAUCCAAGAUCAUCGAAUCAUAACACCGUCAUCAAACUUUAUCAAAUUUAGGAAUCCUCUAAGCUCAAACAUCAAAUUUGACGUUCAAAGUCAUCUAAGGACAAUAAUUUCACCCCAAAUUAUAGAACUUAGAUCAUUUAGGCUCAAAUAUCAUUUUUCCCUUUCAACAUCAAGCCACAAUAUCACCGUCCCAAAUUAUCGAAUUUAUGAUCAUUAGGAGGCUCAAAUAUCAAGUUUUGCAUUCAUAGUCAUCGAGGCAACCAUCAUCUUAAUUUAUCAAUUUAGUAUCAUCUAUGAUCAAAUAUCAAAUUUGUAUCUAAGGUCAUCGAGUAACAAUACCAUCAUCCCAAUUUAUUGAAUUUGGGGUCAUCUAAGCUCAAAUACUGAAUUUCUUAUCCAAUGUCAUCGAGAUAUGCUGAAUUUCUUAUCCAAUGUCAUCAAGACAUACCAAAUUUCUUAUCCAAUGUUAUCAAGACAUACUGAAUUUCUUAUCAAACGUCAUCGAGACAUAAUACCAUUCUCCCAAUUUAUUGAAUUAAGAACCAUUUAGGCUCAAAUACCAAUUUUUGCUUUCAAGCCCAAAAGACACAUUAUCAUCAUCCCAAUUUAUCAAAUUAUGAUCACAUAGGAUCAAAUAUGAAGUUUAGCAUCUAUGGUCAUCGAGGCGACAAGCAUCCCAAUAAAUCAUAUUUAAGAUCAUAUAAGUUCAAAUAUGGAAUUCCAUUAAGGGUCAAUGUAACAUGCCAUCGAGGCGACAAGCAUCCCAAUUAUCAUAUUUAAGAUCAUAUAAGUUCAAAUAUGGAAUUCCAUUAAGGGUCAAAGUGACAUGGCAUCGAGGCGACAAGCAUCCCAAUUAUCAUAUUUAAGAUCAUAUAAGUUCAAAUAUGGAAUUCCAUUAAGGGUCAAAGUGACAUGGCAUCGAGGCGACAAGCAUCCCAAUUAUCAUAUUUAAGAUCAAAUAAGUUCAAAUAUGGAAUUCCAUUAAGGGUCAAAGUGACAUGGCAUCGAGGCAACAAGCAUCCCAAUUAUCAUAUUUAAGAUGAUAUAAGUUCAAAUAUGGAAUUCCAUUAAGGGUCAAAGUAACAUGGCAUCGAGGCGACAAGCAUCCCAAUUAUCAUAUUUAAGAUCAAAUAAGUUCAAAUAUGGAAUUCCAUUAAGGGUCAAAAUAACAUGGCAUCGAGGCGACAAGCAUCCCAAUUAUCAUAUUUAAGAUCAUAUAAGUUCAAAUAUGGAAUUCCAUUAAGGGUCAAAGUGAAAUGGCAUCGAGGCAACAAGCAUCCCAAUUAUCAUAUUUAAGAUCAUAUAACUUCAAAUAUGGAAUUCCAUUAAGGAUCAAAGUGACAUGGCAUCGCUUAUUUAAUAUCAAAUAAGUUCAAAUAUGGAAUUCCAUUAAGGGUCAUUGUGACAUGCAUUUCAAGUUAUGAAUAAAUAUUCAUAUUGAAGUUGCAUUUAGGCCAUCAACAUACCAUCCUAAUUUCAUAUGAAUAAAAGAUCCAUAUUGCAAGCAUAUUUUGAGUAAAUAAUUCAUCCCCGUCAUUAAAUUUAGGGUCAUCGAGACAUAGCAUCGUAAGUUAUCUUAAUGAUUCAUAUUACAACUAUUUAUUUUUUUCAACCUUUUCAGGCAUGAAUAACAAUGAAUCAUCAAGAUUAUACAAUCUUGAAUAAUCAAGAAUAAUAUGAUAAUGUUGCAAACAAAAACCCUACCCCAAAACUUUUAGUGCCAAACACAGUUUUGGAGACAAGGUAUGUUUGCUAACCGAAAGGCAAAAAUCGAUUGACCAGAAAUCCAAACAAUAACCCAUUGAAAAUAGAAACAGAGAUGUAGCAUUGAUUAAAGAAUUCAAAUUCCAACAAGCUGCGAAGCUAAACUUGAUAGGACAGCAGAUUCAUUGAAAGUCCAGUCAAGAAGCUACAUCUCUCUGUUUCUAAUCGAAACAACCAGGGACAGCAGAAACAUGAAUUCAUAUAUCAACGCUUGUGACUCUUUGGUCAUAUUUUAGGGGCAACAAUUCCAAUCAAAUUUAUAGGGUUCCAAUAAUCAAGAUUCGUGAGAAAGUUAUUAGUUCCAUUUAAAGAAUCACAGAGUACUGUGGCAAACAAACACGAAUCUUGAUAAAGGACCGAAAAUGGAGAGAGAUGUUAAAUUUGAGAGGAGUGCAGAUUUAUUCGAAGGUCCAAUAAAGAAACUUGGAUACAAAGUUGUGAAGAUUGAAAUCGAGAAAAAGAGAGAUGAAAGUGUACCAAAGCGAGAGAUAGAGUUGAGAGGAUUGUAGUUUCAUCAAGAAACUAAUUCUUUCUUCUUCUUUUUUUCAUAACGCAACUCUCUUUAUCUCCCGCGGGUUCUCGUUCCCGUUAACAAAUAAAACCCUAAUGUG
rnacentral:lncRNA from 1 species